rnacentral:tRNA from 1 species
GGGUCGUUAGCUCAGCGGUAGAGCAGUUGGCUUUUAACCAAUUGGUCGCAGGUUCGAACCCCGCACGACCCA